UCCAUUCCUGCACCAAGAGCGUCUAGCCUGUCUUUCCUACCAGCCUCCCCUGCAGAGUUCAGAUCUCAGACCGCCACAUACACCGGUUCUUCAUGGCUUCUGUUUACUCAGCUGCUGAAGGGGAUCAGAGCAUGGCACCCUGAAAUCUGCUGCUUUGGCAGCAAAACUCCGCGGAGCUGAAGGCAAUUAAGAAGUAGCAGAUGCGAGAAAAGCUGCUACCUCCUCCUUUCAACCUCAAGACAACACCUUGAUGUCUGGUCUGGUCUUGAAGGUUCCCAACACUCAGGAACCCCAGGCCCUGAGCAAGAAGAAGUAACUGCCCCCUGUUGACUGGAGACCACUUUGCCAUCAGCAACAUUUCCAAAGCAACCCCAUAUCAUGGGCCAAUCAAAGGGCAGAGCAACCCGGGACCUGCACAGGAGCUGAGCAGGCUACCUCUCAACCCCAACUUCCGUCUGUGGGAACCUCCACCCCCAUCUCCUUGGGGAGCUUGGGAAUUGAGCAACUCUGCCUGGCUCCUUGCUCUGCACUCCUAAGUAAAUGCCUACUUCUCCCAGCACCCUGAUGCCCGUGAUUGCAUGCUGUGUUUGAGGUGAGAAGACUUAGAGGUGGGGGAGUUCUACAUCACUCUCAGGCCUCACUCCUCUGCAUUUUCCACUUCUGUUGUGGGAAGCAGUCAUCUGGGGUUGGCUUGUGGUGGAGGAAUUCUCCAGAGCAGUCGGAGACAGUGAACAGAGUUGGAUUUAUUGAACACACUGCAAGGCAGCAGCGUGACAGGCAAAACAGUUAGCUACUGACAGCUGCUGCCAUUCACUGCAAGCGAGCAGCAGGCAGGACAGCCAGAGGCUGUCUGCUGUACCACACGCUACAGGGCAGGAGGCAUCCUGUAACCGCAGUCUCUUCUCAGUCAGAGUGAGCAUUCCUCCCCAUGAUCCAGCUUUUCCUUGGUAGGUGAUUUGCAUUUUGGGGUGGAGCCGGGGAGUCUGCACCACCCUUAGUUUUGGGACUUGCCCAGUGCUCUUCUUGCCCCAUGACUUCCCUUUCUGUGACAUCCAUAUAGUACAUGCCAAAAAUUUAAUUAUUAAUAUCAGUGGGCCAGCAUCGUGGUGUAACAGGUUAAUGCCAUUGCCUGCAAUAAUGUUACUGGAGAAAUGGCAGGGUUCUUGUCUUCGCACAAGAAAGAAUUCAGGUGUGAGACAGAGUAGUGGAAAGUAAAAAGUAGCAAAGUUUAUUAGGGUAGGGACAUCCGCAAGAACGGAUGGGCACCUCUCCAGACAGGACCUGAGAGAGAGUGCCCAGCUGCUUGGAUGGGGGGGCGGGGGGAGAGCAAGGUUACAUGGCUGAGUGGAGAGAUUACACCUGGGCAGGCCAGGCGGGCGGCUCAGAAGAGAGGCAGAGGGCUGAGUGUGCCUUCCGGUUGAGGCCGGGGGUUUUUAAGGAGAUGGGUCUUUGUCGUCACACAUCUCCUGAAACAAAGGAUUUUAUGGAUGUAAAUAUUAAGAAGCUCCUAUCUGAGUUUUCCCCUGAAGGUAUCAGACAGGGGGAAGCCUAGCUGGUGCCAUCCUGGGUACAGAGGAAGGGUGAGCAAGACCCCCUAGAGAAUCAGGAUCCGGAGCAGGGUGUUUGACAUGCAGAUACUGGGCUGCAUCUGGGAGAUUGUGGAAGAUUUGUCAGGCAGAAGGGACGGGGACCCCCAUCUGGUAGGUUAUCAGGUAGAAGGGGCAGGGCAGGAUGCGGAACACUGGGCUGCCCUGAAACGGAUGACUUUGAGAUGCAGGUGCAUAUGCUGGACAUAGAUGUCUUUUCUUUAGGCCUUUAUGUCACAUCUGACUUCCUACCUACCAAAUAUAGGCACUGGUUUGAGACCAGGUUGCUCCACUUCCAAUCCAGCUCCCUGCUGAUGUGUCUGAGAAAGCAGUGGAGGUUGGCCCAGGCCGACUAGGAGGAUGACCCCUGCCCCCACGUGAGAGACCUGAAGGAAGCUCCUGGCUCCUGGCAUAGGCCUGACCCAGUCCUGGCCUUUGUAGCCAUUUGGGGGGUGAACCAGAGAAUGGAAGAUCUCUCGCUGUCUCUCCCUCUCUGUAGCUCUGCCUUUCAA